AUCCAGCUGAUGAGUCCCGAAUAGGACGAAACGCGCUUCCUGAAU
rnacentral:hammerhead_ribozyme from 1 species